UACGUAGGGGGCAAGCGUUGUCCGGAUUUAUUGGGCGUAAAGAGCGUGUAGGCGGCCAGGUAGGUCUGCUGUGAAAACUCGAGGCUUAACCUCGAGCUGUCGGCGGAAACCAUCUGGCUAGAGUCCGGAAGAGGAGAAUGGAAUUCCCGGUGUAGCGGUGAAAUGCGUAGAUAUUGGGAGGAACACCAGUGGCGAAGGCGGCUCACUGGACCGGAACUGACGCUGAGGCGCGAAAGUGUGGGGAGCGAACAGG
rnacentral:rRNA from 1 species